GUUUGGUCUCACUCUGCAACUAAUAUUAAAUAAGAAUAAAGGUAAGUUCUUUAGAAUAUAUUCAAAUUUGUCGAAUGAAUAAUUUCGUUCUGAAAACACAUAAUUUAGAUAUAUACUAGGUUGUGACUAGCAAAAAAGUUAUUAAAAGUAUAUUUGAGAAUGAUACUUUGGACGCAAAUGGAUACUUCAAUCUAUAAUCGGGGAUUCCUAACUUGAAAAUAUUUAUAGAAUAACUAAGAAUAACGAAGAAUUCAACGCCUAUUGUUGUAUGACGUCAGAGAAGCGAAAUAACAACGUUUAUUUCAUAUGUGAAAUUACCGUUUUUUUUACACUAGGAAAUUAAUGUAAUUCACUGCAACCAAUGUAAUAAACGAAUCUAAUAAUAUAAGAAACAACCAAGUGUCAGACACAAAUGGUUCUUACGUAUAUGUUUCAUAUAAUACAACCCUAUAGUCACAUGAUCGCCACAUUCGAGGUAUUAGUUUUUUUUUCUAUAUCAGUUACUAUUUUAAUCCCUUUCCUAAAUUAUGCAAUAUUUGAAUCAUAAACCUUUAAACACAAUAAAACAUAGACAACAAACGCAUCUGCCGACAAGCAAAAAUUCUUCAACUUUGAUAAUGAUUUUGUCAAGUUCAACAUAAAUAAACGAAAUAGUACAAUUUAUAUCUAUGCUGUGGAUUCAUUUAUUUUCGUGGGUAUCAAUUUUCGUAGAUUCAGUAAACAUUUCAUUUUCGUGGAUAUUUUAUUUCGUGGUUUUGUCAAAGUCUGCAUGCAAGCCUAUAUAACAUUUUUAUAUUAUAAACAUUUGAAUUCGUGGUUCGCCUUCACCCACGAAAUCCAAAAAAAUUGAUAUCCAACGAAUAACAAUGAUUCCACAGUAUUAUUUUGAUGUUGUGUCACACGUCUCUAUGUCGGCAUUAUAUAUACAGCUAUAUACAACAAUUUCCAUCCUGAUAGCUUUGAAAAAUUCCUUAACGAGGAUUCAGCCGACGUGAAAGUGGAUUUAACGUCACACGAUGAAGAAAAAAGGAAGCUCAGCAGCAAAGUACAUGUUCUGUGUAUAGAAAAAACAAAUGGCCAUGUUCCGUUGGUAUUUUAAUAGUAUGUAGUAUCGGCAUCGUUGUUGGUUUAACCUACAAACUCAGUGGUCUGUCUAACGACAACAAAGGUACGUCUAUAAUGCUGGUUUUUAUGCAAUAAGAAAUUUCAAUAUUUAAUCGCACCGUGUAUAGAGAAGUUGUGAUUUACUUAAAUAGAGCAUUGUACUAAGGAUUUUCUUAUCCCUGGAAUAGAUUACCUAAGCCGUAUUUGGCACAACUUUUUGGAAUUUUCGUUCCUCCAUACUCUUCAACUUUGUACUUGUUUGGCUUUUAAACUAUUUUGAUCUGAGCGUCACUGGUGAGUCUUAUGUAGACGGAACGCGCGUCUGGCGUAUUAAAUUGUAAUCCUGGUACCUUGAUAAACAUUUUACGAUGUAGAUAUAGAACGAGAUUUAUAUACAAUAACAAAUUAAAGGCAUACUGAGUGAUAUUGCUACUUAACUGCAUCUACAAAUUUUAUCAUAUUGAUGAGAAAUGCAUUUCUUUCUUUAGGACUUUUCUUUUGGCACAUACUUGUAUGACAGUCGCAUACAAUUCCAUUAAUUUGACAACAAUGUGUGAACAAACGAGAUUUAUAUACAAUAACAAAUUAAAGGCAUACUGAGUGAUAUUGCUACUUAACUGCAUCUACAAAUUUUACCAUAUUGAUGAGAAAUGCAUUUCUUUCUUUAGGACUUUCUUUAUCGAAAUGUGAUCGACUGUUCUGCUUUAUAUCAAUGGAGCAAUGAGAUAGUGAAACGACCAUGGUAUAUUAAACUAUGGUAGUUUCUUAAAUAGGAUUUUAUAAUUAUUGUGAAGAAAAACAUAAUUUGAACGAUACAUCUUUGUUUUACAUGUAUCGUUAAAGGAGUAGGUCCAGUAAUACCCCUUUUUGGCCCCAAAAUAUAGCAAUUUUACAAAAUUGUUAAAAUGUAAACUUUAAGUUAUUUAUUGCACAGUAAAAUGCUUCUGCUACAUAAAUAUGGGCUAUUUUUGACAAUACAAUGCACAUAUAUCGGGUACUAGCACCAUUAAGUCAUGCUAAAUUACUGAAAACUUCAUAAUUCUAGAAUAUUAGUUAAAUUUUAGACGGUUUUCGUGUAAAACGAAAGUGGCCGCAUUCGUGUUCAUCCUUAAUAUUGAAAUGUAAGUUGUAUUUUACGAUAAAACAUAACAUACAUAAAGGUUGAGGAUGAACACGGAUGCGGCCACUUUCAUUUCAGACAAAAACCAGCUGUAAAGUGAAAUUUUUAGGCAUAUUUGGUAGAAUUUCAUAUUUCAGCUUGAAUCGGUGCGUUUUUUAUGACUAAGGCAGUUAAAAUCUUUCACAUAAACUAAUUGAUUCAAAUAAAAUCGACACUUAAGUGUUUAAAAAGUGUUCAAAAUCUUUCGUCAGAUGAACCUGAAAUUUGAGGCCAAAAUCAGCCCUUACCGUACCUACUCCUUUAUUUUAUAUCUUUGUAUUAUUUUAGACAUAUCCAGUAUGAAAAAGGGCAUAUUGCAGACCAAAGUUCAAAGUAAAAAAUUCGAACAUGAUAUAACAUUGUUGUUUUUU
rnacentral:lncRNA from 1 species